GACGAACGCUGGCGGCGUGCUUAACACAUGCAAGUCGAACGGAAAGGCCCUGCUUUUGUGGGGUGCUCGAGUGGCGAACGGGUGAGUAACACGUGAGUAACCUGCCCUUGACUUUGGGAUAACUUCAGGAAACUGGGGCUAAUACCGGAUAGGAGCUCCUGCUGCAUGGUGGGGGUUGGAAAGUUUCGGCGGUUGGGGAUGGACUCGCGGCUUAUCAGCUUGUUGGUGGGGUAGUGGCUUACCAAGGCUUUGCCGGGUAGCCGGCCUGCGAGGGUGACCGGCCACAUUGGGACUGAGAUACGGCCCAGACUCCUACGGGAGGCAGCAGUGGGGAAUAUUGCACAAUGGGCGGAAGCCUGAUGCAGCAACGCCGCGUGCGGGAUGACGGCCUUCGGUUUGUAAACCGCUUUCGCCUGUGACGAAGCGUGAGUGACGGUAAUGGGUAAAGAAGCACCGGCUAACUACGUG
rnacentral:rRNA from 1 species